rnacentral:lncRNA from 1 species
GUUUGGAUGAUACUACUAGGUUCAUUAUAAAGUGUCUUAGACAACACUUUAAUAUGUGUGGAUAAUACCUUACUAGGUUCAUUAUAAAGUGUCUUACCCAGCAAGAUUAAGAAAUCAAUUCUGUCAAUUCAUUAGCUAGUACAUUUGUAUUGCUCUAACAAAACUUGACCAACAACAAAAACAUGAGUGACUUAAAUAUCUC